rnacentral:rRNA from 1 species
UACAGAGGUCUCAAGCGUUGUUCGGAUUCAUUGGGCGUAAAGGGUGCGUAGGCGGCGCGGUAAGUCGGGUGUGAAAUUUCGAGGCUUAACUUCGAAACUGCAUUCGAUACUGCCGUGCUUGAGGACUGGAGAGGAGACUGGAAUUUACGGUGUAGCGGUGAAAUGCGUAGAUAUCGUAAGGAAGACCAGUGGCGAAGGCGGGUCUCUGGACAGUUCCUACGCUGAGGCACGAAGGGUCAGGGGAGCAAACGGG